CAGUGUGGCGCGGCCGCCGCCGGCCGGGAGCUGACAGGUGCGGCGGGCCGGGAAGUUGCUGACUAAGCCGGGCCGGGCGGAGCCGGGGCGGCGGCGGCCGGAGGAGAGGGAAGGAGAAGCGGCUCUGCCGAGCGUCGGGUCGCAGCGUCGGCGCUUCGGAAGGGCUCAUGGGGACGGCGGCGAGCCACAGCAGCGAGGAGGAGGAGGAGGGCGCCGAGGAAGGCAUGAAGGGGGCGGCCGUCGCGUCUCAGCCCGGCGCUCCCUUCCCGUCCGGCGCUGCCGCCAGCCCGGCGCCGCCGCUGCCCCCGGCCGAGGUGCUGCUGGACCAGGCCCGGCUGCGGGAAGCCACGGCGCGGCUGCGGGAGGCGGCGCUGCCCGAGUCGCUGGUGUCGCGGCACCACAGCACGCUGGUGCGCUGGCUGGAGGAGCGCCUCAGCCGCGGCGACGAGGCCGUCAGCCUGGAGCAGUUCUGCGAGGUGCUGGAGAGCGUCUCCCGCCUGGCUGCCGGCUCCCGGGGCGAGAGCGAGGAGGCCUUUGCACAAUUUGAUGCUGAAGGAGAUGGCACUGUAGAUGUGGAGAAUAUGCUGGAGGCUCUCAAGAAUUCUAGUGGAGCUAAUCUUCAAGGGGAGCUUAGCCAUGUCAUCAGGCAACUGCAAGCUUGUUCACUAGUUCCAGGUUUUAUUGAUAUAUUUUCUGAAUCGAAAGAGCGUCUUGGUCUUCAUGCCUCAAUGAUACUGAGAUUCUUGCACCGGAAUCGGAUUUCUAGUACUGCCAUCCCUUACCCAGUGUUGGAGUACUUCAACAAUAUCUGUACUAUGCGGUCUUCUGUGCUGAAGGAUUCUUUAGAUCGACUUCUCCUAAAAGAGAGAGAAUACCCCAGUGACUUGAAUGGUAAUCAGGAGUCGGACAAACUGAAGUCUGUCACGAAGUGCUACACUCACAUAGAAACCUCGUCCAAUUCCGCUGAUAUUGAUAAGAUGACAAAUGGAGAAACCACAUCCUUCUGGCAGUCGGAUGGGAGUGCUCGCUCACAUUGGAUACGUUUAAAGAUGAAACCAGAUGUUGUUUUGAGACAUCUGUCCAUUGCGGUGGCAGCCAAUGACCAGAGUUACAUGCCACAGCAAGUUACAGUGGCAGUGGGAAGGAAUGCCAGCAGUCUUCAGGAGGUCCGAGACGUUCACAUUCCCAGCAAUAUCACUGGCUACGUAACACUGUUGGAAAACGCUAACAUUAGUCAGAUGUAUGUACAGAUAAACAUCAAGCGUUGCCUUAGUGAUGGAUGUGACACUAGAAUCCAUGGACUCAGGGCCGUUGGUUAUCAAAGAGUUAAGAAGGUGGGCGUCUCUGUGUGCGAUGCUUCCGCUAUCUGGUACUGGUCUCUGCUGACCUCUCUCGUAACAGCUUCCAUGGAAACAAAUCCCGCAUUCGUUCACACUAUUUUACAAAAUACUCAGAAAGCACUGCAACACAUGCCACCUCUAUCCCUAACACCGGGCUCCACAGAUUUUUCAAGCUUCUUAUCUCCAAAUGUUUUGGAAGAAGUCGAUAGCUUCCUUAUAAGAAUAACAAGUUGUUGUACUACUCCAGAGGUUGAACUUACACUCUUGGCCUUUGCCUUGGCCAGGGGGAGUGUUGCUAAAGUGAUAAGUUCCCUUUGUACAAUUACCGAUCAUCUGGACACUCCGUACAAGGCUUCAUCCCUUAUUGCUUCCAUGGCAACAGUUAGACAGAACCUGCUGUAUAAAUACGGAAAACUAUUACGACUAACUUUGCAAGCAUGUGAUGUAAAGGGAAAAGAAGAUAAAUCAGGGCCUGAAAACCUCCUUGUAGAGCCAUGGACUGGGGAUGGUUUUCUUACUGAAACUGGGAAGACCAGAGCAAGUAUCAUUCUUUCCACUGGAACUGAAUCUUCAUUUCAAGUGACACAAAUUAGAAUAAAGGUCCGAAGAGGUGCCAUUGGGGCCCAGUGUGGGCUGGUGUUUGCUUAUAAUAGUGCUUCGGAAAAGUUCCAUGCAGAGGAACACUUCAAAAGAUUUGAAAGCUAUGACAAAUGGAAGCUGCGGGAAUUCAAACAAUUUUUAAAAAACAGAAGCAGUUGUUCCUGUGAUGAUUUGGGGGAUGAUGACCCUAUUGGCUGGUUUGAAGUGGAAGAAGAAUGGGAUGAAGUUGACGUCAAAAUGCAGCAAUGCAGAAUUUCCCAAUACUUGAUGAUAAAGUUCUUGUGCACAAGACAAGACACAGCAGAACGGCUCGGGGUUCAAGGCCUGAAUGUUCUUGGCUACCUUCGGCCUAUGCGAGAUGAGCCCAAUAGGAGCAUGAACUGUUUGCAGUGCAGGAAAACUGAUGAUGAUACUGUUUGUGGCACAACUCUUCUCCUGAAGACACUUCAUUUCAUCCAGCAGCUGGCACAGGACCUGGUUCAACAGAAGGAGAGUGGAUUAAAAUACAAGUCGUUUUUAGAUUUCACAGGCCUUGAUUUGCAGCUGUUCUGGAAUUUUUACAGUAAACUUCACCAAAACCCAAGGGAGGAAUGCAUCUUUGCUCAAACACUGCUAUUGCAGCUUCUCCAGAGCUGCUUCUCUGUACUUACUGGCGACAAUAAAACUGCUAAACCUCAAGAAACUUCUCAGAGCAAAACAUCUGGUCACACAGAAGCUGCGGAAGAGCUUUAUAGACAUCUGUGUGAAGUAGUGGAUAUGCGGGACAGUAACUUCAUGCCAAUGAAAAUGCUGAAAGAGGAAGUUAAGAACACCUUACUCAGCGGAGCAGCAAUCUUUUUCCCAGAUAGACAAACCAGGCGACACCAGCUCUUCACCAUGAUGAAAAACAUCACAGAGCAAGAGCAUAAGCAAUCUGUACAUCUUGCCUUCAGAUCCUUGUGUACCCACUUCAGUGAUCAAGAUCCAGGUGGACUCCUAUUAUUACCAGAGAAAGGAGAUUCUGCAAAUUUUGACAUAAGUGAAGUGCUAUCAGUCAUGGAUACCCUUCUGCUAGUGGCGGCAAGAGAGUGUGAAAUGAUGAUGCUGGAUGUUGCACAGCAGGAGAGUGGCACGGUCUUGUCUUCCUUAUUCUGGUCUGUUCAAGGUAGCCUGCUUUCAUGGUGCUACCUGCAACUUAAGGGUAGCGAUAAUUCAGCCAAGGAUCUUGCUGUAGAAAUACUUAAAAACUAUGUGGGCCAGUUCCUGUCAAAUAUCAGAACGAUUUUGCAGUCACUUUUAUCUCAAUAUAGUGGCAAAACAAUAGUAGAAAAAAUAAGUAACUCUGUCUUUGCUAUGGCAACUCGUCAGCUGGUCAUCUUCUUGUUGGAUUUUUGCACUUUAGACAUUCCAUACUGUACUCUGCUACAGGGAUUCAGCACUUUGAUAGAACCAUUGAAAAGCCUUUGCAGUGAGCCUCAUAAGAUGGAAAUGGAAAGCUGGCAGCAAGAGCAGCCUGUAGUAUUGCGAACGUGGACAAUGGAAUCGCCUCAUAACUAUGAAAAUAAUUGUCAUGAGGUCUCAGUCUUCCUAUGUCAUGGGGCAACUUACUUUGAGGUGGAAUUUGAUGAAAAAUGUGAAACUGAAAGGAGGUAUGAUUACCUGGAGUUUACCGAUGCCAGAGGUGCAAAAACUCGUUACGAUACAAAGGUUGGCACUGAGAAGUGGCCUAAGAAAGUGACCUUUAAGGCUGGCCCACGGCUGCAGUUUCUCUUUCACUCUGACAGCAGUAAUAAUGAGUGGGGCUACAAGUUUUCCGUCACUGCUUAUGGCCUACCAGAUGUUGCCGUUUCUUGGGGCUUGGAUUUACAGCUUCUUGUAUCCCGGUUGAUGGGGCGCUUGGCUUCCCGAAGUAUGGCGCUGAAAUCUCUACGAGAACUAGGUAGUGAAGCAGACUUGCCUCCUUUGAAAGUAACAUCAGUUCUUAAUUCUCCUCUGUGGAAACCUGUCUUCAGGCACCAGAUGUGUCCUGAGGCACUCCCGGGAGCCAGUCAGAGCCGUAGACUGCACCAAGAUAAAAAAGAGGCUAGGAGCUCUCACCAAGAUGACUGCCGUAACUUUCUUAUUGACUUUGCAAAAUCAGAUCCUGCCCAGGACUUCAGUGGGCAAAAAUCUGAACUUUUCAAAGGACUUAUACAGGCGUGUAAAAAACAGGCCCCAAAGACAGAUACAGUUGCUGGUUCAACUGUUGAUCAAGCUGUGAACUCGACAUUUGCUGCUUUGGUGUAUCUGACUCCAGAUUUAUAUGAGAAGCUUCAAAAAUAUGUCAACAGUGGAGGCAAGGUGCCUUUGAGUGAUGAGUUUGCACAAGUAUAUUCCCUGGCCGAUUCAAUUAGAAUAUGGAUGUUGGAAAUGAAGCAGAAAUCCCUGAUGGGUAGAGGAAAUGAUACUGAGGAGAAGCAGAACGCAGAAGCGAGUGAGGUGAACCCAGAAACUCUUGCAAAACUUUGUAUGCAGAAGAGCCUUCUGUUACUGAAUUUUUUGCCUGUAAGAGCAAAGACGAAAGAUUCUGCUUCAGGCAGUUUGGAAGCCCAAGACAUUGAUGAUAUCCAACAGUAUGUCAGUGAUAAGUGCCAAAGAAAAGGUUCUGUUGUGGACACAGACUUCCAGGCAGCACACUCAUUGCCUUCCAACGGAGUAACUCAUCCUGUUUCAAAAGAGGGGGGCCAAAUGACACAAUCUGAUAGGAAGAUUAAACAAGUUCCAGAUCCCCUCAAAACAGAAGAAGCAUCUGCAUUUCAUAGUAAGCCUGUUGAGAAUACAGCUUCACAGCAAGAAGAUAUAUCAUCACCUCCUUCCACUCCUACACGAAAAUCUCAGUUCAGCCGUGGAAGACUAAGGCUGCUGUCUUUCAGAUCAAUGGAGGAGCCGAGAGCUGUGCCUACUGUGAAGGAGAAAUAUCCUAUAUUGAAAAACAUAUUAGACUUCAUUAAGGAUCAAUCACUUUCACAUGAAAGUGUUUUAAAGGUUCUUGCUUUGAGAAAAUCCCAAGGGCAAAGUAUUAUGGAAGUGCUGAAGACAAUCCGCCAGUGCCUAGACUCGCUUGGGCAACCACACUGUUUUCAUCCACCAUGUGUACUAUUUCUGUUAGAACUUCUAGCCUGUCAGAAAGAUUUUACAAACUACUUUGGAAACUUGGAAGGUUGUGGUGCUGAGCUACACAAAGAGAUUCGAGAGUCCUACUACCAGCUUGUUUUGUUCCUGGUAAAUUCUGUGAAGGGAUUUAGUGCUAUUAAUGACAGGUCGUUGCUUCCUGCCUUAUCAUGUGUGCAGACGACUCUCCUUCACCUUUUGGAUAUGAGUUGGGAACCAAGUGACCUUUCCUUCUUUGUUGAGAUUCAGUUACCCCAUCUUCUUAUGGCUACAUCACAAGAAAACAUAAGUAUUCAUGACAGUGUGAUUUGUCAGUGGAGUGAAGAAGAUGAAAUUGCAGACUACAAGCAAAACUGUGAGUGGAUGGAUGAAUGUCAGGAUGUAAUGUUUGAGACCUGGUAUGAAAAGAUAGCUCAAGCUGACCCAGAGAAGCAGAGAAAGAUGCACAUGUUUGUUGCUCGUUACUGUGACCUGUUAAACGUGGACAUAUCCUGUGAUGGCUGUGAUGAAAUUGCACCGUGGCAUCGCUACCGCUGUCUACAAUGUAAUGACAUGGAUCUGUGUAAAACUUGUUUUCUUGGUGGAGUUAAACCUGAAGGACACGAGGAUGACCAUGAAAUGGUUAACAUGGAGUAUGCCUGUGAUCACUGUCAAGGAGUUAUCAUAGGUCGGAGAAUGAACUGCAAUGUGUGUGAUGACUUUGACCUUUGCUAUGGGUGCUAUUCUGCAAAGAAAUACUCUGACAGUCACUUGCCCACUCACAGCAUCACGGUGUACCCGAUGGUGACUAUUCGAAUCAGUGACCGACAGAGGCUCAUCCAGCCAUAUGUCCACAAUUAUUCCUGGCUGUUGUUUGCAGCUUUGACUCUCUAUAGUGCAGAUCUGGCAAAUGGGGAGGAAGUAGAAGGGGAAAAACUAGAUUCACAGGUCCUCAGUCAUGCCAGAGUUCUGCAACAUCAGUGCAUACAGCUCAUCGGAGACUGCUUGAUGAAAGCACAGCACGGAAAAGGUCUGAAAAAUUUAGCUCUCCUUUGCAUGUUACCAGAAGGUGAAUCCUUCUCAGAGAAUGACACUGUUUCAGUCAGUCCUCCAACAGAUGGUGCUCCAAAAAGUGAUAAAGCAGUGAAGGGAAGAGAUGAGAAACCAAGCACAGGCUCUUUUAUGCGUUGUAACGGGAAAGGAGAUGCUCGCAAUGAAAUCCAGUCCCCUGCAGAAGAUAAAGGAGGAAAACAAGGAAGUGAAAGCAAAGUUGUCUCUGCAAAGAAAGCUGUUUUGAGACAAGAGUCAGACUUGUCUGUGGAUGAUAAUCUUUCUCCAACAGGAGAUGACUACCUCUUGGAGGAUUCAGCCCAGAAGCAAGCAGAGAAGGUUUUAAUACCUAGCCAGGAGCAAGUUUUUGCUGAAUGCUCUCAGAAGAGGAUUCUAGGAUUGCUUGCAGCUAUGCUACCACCUUUCAAAUCGGGCUCCACAAUGUCUUUGAUUAACCUGGAACAAAUACUUCCACUGAUGUUUCAGGUCGUAAUCUCAAACGCUGGCCACCUAAAUGAAACUUAUCAUUUAACAUUGGGACUUCUGGGCCAGUUAAUCCUGAGACUUAUGCCUGCAGAAGUGGAUGCUGCAGUGGCUAAAGUCCUUUCAGCCAAACAUAAUCUGUUUGCUGCGGGAGAUGGGUCUACAGUGCCAGAAGGCUGGAAGACAACUCAUCUUCUGUUCAGUCUGGGAGCUGUGUGUUUAGACAGUCGUGUAGGUCUGGACUGGGCAAGCUCCAUGGCAGAUAUUCUUCGAUCUUUGAACUCUUCUGCGCAGUGGCAUAAUGUGAUCGCUGCUUUCACUGACCAUUGCAUUAAGCAACUGCCCUUCCAGCUAAAGCACACCAAUAUCUUCACUUUAUUGGUGCUGGUUGGGUUUCCUGAGGUGCUGUGUAUGGGGACUCGUUCUGUGUACAUGGAUAAUGCUAAUGAGCCUCAUAACGUGAUCAUCCUGAAGCAUUUCACAGAGAAAAACAGGGCAGUUGUAGUAGACAUCAAAACCCGAAAGAGAAAAACAGUGAAAGACUACCAGUUGAUUCAGAAGUGCGGACAAGAAGGCAGCGAUCCCCAGACCCAGCUGAGACAGUACCUCCAGCACUUUGUUCUUAUAUCCACGCACCUCCUGCAAACCAGCAUGGACAGUAGCUAUGCUGAGGCAGUGGAAGCAACUUGGGUCUUGUCACUCGCUCUAAAGGGGCUUUACAGAACACUUAAGAUUCAUGGUUUUAAGGAGAUCCAGGCUGCCUUUCUUCAGUCUGGUUUACUCAAGCUUCUAGUGAAGAAAUGUAGCAAAGGAACUGGCUUCAGUAAGACCUGGCUUCUCAGAGACUUGGAGAUUUUGUCAAUCAUGCUGUAUUCCUCAAAGAAAGAGAUCAGUUCCUUAGCUGAACGUGAAGAUACUGAACUGGAAGAAAGGGAACAAGAUCAAGAUGUGGAGCAACCCAUUGUCGGUCCUGUUGAUUUAGAGCAGAACAAACUUGAUCCUCUGGAGGGUUUGGAUGAAGCCACCAAAAUAUGCUUCUUGAUGACACAUGAUGCACUUAAUGCCCCUCUCCAUAUUCUUCGAGCCAUGUAUGAGUUGCAAAUGAAAAGAACAGAUUCUUUUUUCCUGGAAGUUCAAAAGAGGUUUGAUGGGGAUGUAAUUACAACAGAUGAGAGGAUCCGAACACUGGCUCAGAAAUGGCAACCCAGCAAGCGUUUGAGGUUGGAGGAGCAGAGUUCAAAAGCAGUAGAUACAGAUAUGAUCAUCUUACCCUGUUUGUCAAAGCCUGCGCUCUGUGAUAAAGCAACAGAAGAAACCAAUCCAGUUGCCCAGAAACUGAUAACCAACACAGAGAGUGAUCUACAGCUUAGUUACGCCAAGCAACGCCGCACGAAGAGUUCCAUACUCUUGCACAAGGAGCUGGACUCUAGAAGUAAAAAGGCUGUGAGGGACUACCUGUAUCGUGUAAAUGAGGCAACUGCUGUUCUUUAUGCCAGGCAUGUGCUGGCAUCAUUGUUAGCCGAGUGGCCAGAUGAUGUGGCAAUAAAUGAGGAAAUCCUUGAUCUUAGUGGCCCAGCCCAUAUGACAUACAUACUGGACAUGCUUAUGCAGCUAGAGGAAAAGCAGUUAUGGGAAAAAAUUCUACAGAAAGUACUGCAUGGGUGCAGUGAGAGCAUGCUGGGAACGAUGGCGUUGACAGCUUGCCAGUUCAUGGAGGAACCCGGAAUGGCAGUCCAAACGCGUGAAUCUAAACAUCCUUACAACAACAAUACUAAUUUUGAGGAUAAAGUUCAUAUUCCCGGUGCUAUCUACCUCUCAAUCAAAUUUGACUCUCAGUGUAAUACAGAAGAAGGCUGUGAUGAGUUGCUCAUGUCUAGCAGCAGUGAUUUCCAGCAGGAUCGGCACAGCUUCAGUGGAUCUCCGCAGAAAUGGAAUGAUUUUGAGCUUCCAGGAGACACACUCUAUUACCGAUUUACCUCUGACAUGAGUAACACUGAGUGGGGUUAUAAGUUUACAGUGACAGCUGGUCAUCUUGGGAGGUUCCAGACAGGGUUUGAAAUUCUAAAGCAGAUGCUGUCUGAGGAAAGGGUAGUUCCUCACCUCCCACUGGCCAAAAUCUGGGAAUGGCAGGUCGGGGUAGCCUGCCGUCAGACUGGUCACCAGCGUUUGAAGGCAAUCCACUUGCUCUUGAAGAUAGUGCAGUGCAGCGCCCAGAGAGACUGUGACCUCACCUUGUUGAAGCCGCUUUGGCAGCUUUUCACCCAUAUGGAAAACAACUUGUGUCAUGACAUGACCAAGCCUGGUAUUCUCCUUCCUCUUCAUCGUGCACUAGCAGAACUCUUCUUUGUUACAGAAAACAGAGUUACUGAGCUUGGAUCUCUACAGGAGUAUUUGCUUGCCUUAAAUACUGAAGAUCAUCUUCAUCGCUGCACAGCACAGGCCCUGAAAAACAUUGCUGCUAUCAGCCUUGCCAUUAACUAUCCGAACAAAUCAACAAGUUUCUGGAAUGUUUAAUACUGGCUCAGGCCGGAGUGCAUGGGAUAGAGUAGUUUGUCCAUAGGAACCUUGGAACAAACAUCUUAACUCCGUUCAGGAAAAGUUCCUUCAGCUUCAGUAUAUGAGCACUCUGCAGCCUUCCUUCCUUCCACCUUGAUGUAGAAUUUGUAAAAGUAAAAGCGCACUUCAAUGACAAAGCACAUCUUGAAGUAACUCAUGCGUCGCCUACAGUUAUGUAUGCACAUAUUGUAGCAUGUUAGAGUAAACAGAACAAUAUUUUUUUUUAUUCAGAGGAAGUAAACAAAAGAAGGUAGCUGAAGUAUGAGAAUGGAAGGCCCCCGUGUUCGUAUCAUCUGCUCCCGAGGAAACUUGAUUGUUGGAACGUGACAGCUUUGAAAAUAUCGCUGAGCUCGGAGUGAUGCCGUCAGUAGCAUCUAUUCUAUGUCAUUGAAGUGAAAUAGGCAAACCAGAAUCUGGUGGGCUGAUACAGAAAUGGUCCACACUUGAAUCCUGUCAUGUUUACUUUUGCUUUGAAGGCUACUACCCAAGGAAACGAACUUUCAUUCUUACUAAACUAUAGGUUGUAAAACAAAUUCUGAUUCGCAUAGCAGUUAAAGGAUUCCAGUUUCAGAGCAUCCUCGUCCAAGAGGUUAAUGUUUCUCCUGUUCUCUGAUUCGAUCAGCUGGAUCAUCUAGUCUUACCUUAAUUUAUCUCCAGUGUGUUAUUCUAAAUAAUACGUUAUUCUAGUGCAGAGAGCAAAGGCUGGCCUCCAUUCACAAAGCAGUGGUAAUAUGAAGAACUGAGGAACUUACUUGUUUCCUGAAGAUCACAUCUUUACAAGAUACUAUUCACAAGGCUUUUUUUUUUUUUAAUUAUUUUGACACUAGUGGCUGAGGAGGUCCCUCUUGGCAAUGUUGGGAACCCGGACUCUCAGCACUCAGGGUGGGGGUUAAUGAUCAAUCCAGUCUUAUCUUACAGAGCAAUAACUGCAUUACUCUUAGUAAACAUGGAAUGAAUUGCAGGCCUUCUAUGCUGAAAUAAAUUGGCUUUCUUCCUGCUCAACUACACUGGUUGUUCCCUUUCCAGAGAGUUAAAAAGAACAUAAAAGAAUUUGGGGGUGUGUUUUGUAUACAUUAUACAGUAUGUAGAGCUGGUCUUGUCAAGUAUGAAUUUAGAGAACUUUUUAUGCUAAUUAUAUUCUUCCCUUCCUCACCUCAACAUUAAAAUACAAAAAAAAAAAAAAAGGCAACCAAAAGCUUCAGUAGUAACUAAAGGCAGUGGCUCUGUCAGAAGGGAAUAUGCUCACUGACCUUGGUUGUCCCAAAGGUGAGUGGUGCCUAAAUAAGCAACAUGCACAGGAGCACCGCUUUGGGCAUGGCCCCCGAAUUCAUGCUUUUCUCAGCCGGGGCUGGAAUUUUAAGGGUGGUCCAAUCUCCCUCUGAGAGGGAAAUGUGUAGUAAUACAUCCCCUUUUUUUGGAUGGCCUCUAGUGCUGUAGUUAAAGAUGUUUUGACCUCUGUUCAGCCAGGUGAGUGCAAAGGGAACGCUUCUUCAGGGGAUGAGGUUGAAUCUACCUGAAAGACUUAAAACCGAAGACCAAGAAGCACUAUGCUGAAGCCAUUGCCUUCAGGAAUGGAGUGGCCUUCUUAGCAAACGAGAAUGCCAGAAUUCAGGAAAAACAUACUGUCUUUAUCAAAGACUGAAAGGAGGCGGAGAGAUAGUGCUUUGAAACCCCUCCUCAGGUAUCCUGUAGUUGAAGGUCGAAGCCCUCCUUCCUUCCAGAAUGAGAUCGCGAUGGGAAGGGAAUUAUCAAAGUUGUGGCAUAUCUUUAACUCAUGGAUCAUUUUGUUCCCACAUCCGAGUCACAUAUUUGAGUUUGCAGUCUCACUGCAGGGGUGUCUGAGAGAUCCCCGAGGAACCAACUGUUUCACACUUUCCAACAGCAUGAACGGAUUCUGGGAACGGGGAGUUGCUCCACCAAAACGAGACGUUCUUAAAGUGUACUUUAGGGAGUCGUAUCGAUGGGACAGGUGAGCGUUUUGAAAUUGCUCUUCUUGAGCAGUAGGACUUUCUAUUCACUGCCUCGGUGUGAAUCCCCGGCUAAGAGGUCGAGGAUAUGCAAUGGGCUGAUUUGCUAAGGCAUGUAGCAUGCUGCUGAGGUCUGCCUGGUAUAGUCAAAGAAGGCUCUUUUCUUUUUUCACAUCAGGGAUGAAGACUGUAAAUAAACCAUUCAGAGAACCUGCCAUGGCUCUAUCAUAUUCACAUUUUUUUCCGUUGGACUGUCUUUUUGCUUUCUGUAUGAAGACGUGAGGCUGCAAGGAUGACGCAGGCGUGGCCAGUGUUCCUUACUAGGCAUACCGCUUCACUUACUCUACCAGCAGUGACUGGCCUUGUGAGUCAGUCACCUUGCCCUGAAGGGACUGUCUAGGAACAGUGUCCACUAAAUAUAAUUUCUACCCACUAGAUGGAACUGAAGGACUGUGACCUGAGUUGACACUGAAUCUGUUGCUGCCUUACAACUCAAUCAUUCAUUAUGGAUUUUUUUAAGAGAUGAGAAACACUGAUUUUUUUUUUUUGAUUUUUUUUUUCCUUCGGAUAGUUUUAAAGCGAGAGGAAGAGAAUACCAAUAAUGAAUAUUCAUGAUCAAUCACAUUUUGAAAGUCCUGCAGCAGUUCCAAGUGGAUGCGGAUGAUACUAUUGAAUAGUAUAAAACUGUCUGGAAAACAGUGAGAUCCAGGGUUCUUCUUGGGAAUCUUCGUUUUCAGUGCCUGUAAGCAAAUGUGCUUUUCCUUCGGCGGUUAGUAUCGGUCUGAUACUGCAUCGAAGUGUGCAGGAUACGUACUACUGGAGUCGUCUCGUGAAUUCCAGCCCCGCUGUUCACAUUCCAGCAGCCUUAUCCUAAACCCAACGUUUUCCCAUGGAUACCCAUCGGUGUCAGUUCCUGUGCUGAUUUACUUUCAGACCCGAAACACACAUCUGGGGCCCCAGAUGUUGUCUCAUGUAAAGCUGAGGAGAAAGCUACAGUAUGUUUAAAGCAGAACUGGCCCAAUGCCCUGAGUUUUCACAGCCUGUGCGCCGGGGAAGCCACCAGCAUGAGCAUCGCACCUUGUUUUCAUGGGACGCACAACCACCCCAGCCAUGGGAGCCUAUGUAAAGUUUGACCUGGUCUUUAGGUAAAGCUACUAGAAUGUUGGAAAACAGAUUAAUGUAUGCAAAGAGGAUGCUUUUCAACACUUGGCUAGUUAGUCUGUAGGAGGUCAGGCUGGAUAAUAACUGGAACAAAGAAUGUACAUUGGUAAAAAGGCCUGGAAAAACAGGAACUGUGGGGGGAAACAGAAAUCUGGCCCACCUCUGGAUUUAAAGCAAAGAAGUCAAUUCCGAUUCAAGCGAAUAAGAGAGAAAUCCACUGUGAAUAGGGAAGGAAUUGAGUAAGAGGUGAAGGAAGUAAGAUUAAAACUCAUUCUUUCCAUGACCGUCGGCUCUAAUUUAAUCAGGUCUAUUCUGCAAUAAUACCUAAGAAAGCACAAACACUAAAAAGUUGAUACCCAGCUCAAACCCGGGCUGCAAUGUUGUGGUGGGACUCAUAAAUGGGUAUGCAAUCUAAAGAGGAAUAAACAUUUAAAAACCCUCCAAAAACCUUAUUUCCUCCAACUGGAAACAUCAACAAGCAUUCCUGAUGAAUAGAUGGAAAUCUCAGACAGUUUUGUAGUGGUCUUUAGCAUUUAGAGGUUCGUUCUUUUUAUAUUCAAAGGCUGAGAACGUUUGGAUUUAGGGAACACGGGAAAAGAAGUGGAGAAAGGAUAACCAGACUGUCUUGGAGAUGGUGUUUCCACCUGUAACUGCUAGGCAGUUUGCUGAGGACCUUCUCCUACUAGUGCUUUUCUGAAGAUGGUCCUUUGUGUUUCUCAGGUGGUGUUUACUCUCUUCCAGGGGCUGUUGGUAAAGUCGGUACUAAACAUCGCACCUCCUUGCUACCUCGUGCCUUGUAUCUGACACGCGAAAUUCUUUUCUCUCUUUAUAAUGAGUCAUUCCCCUUCAACGCACCUCUGCGGAGGUGGGCUGGGAGCUCAGCUUUCACCUCGCUGCCUUUCGGGCACCCAAAGGUUUUAACCUCCUCGACCACGUGUAAUGUCUAGGAACCAACAAAACACCUUUUUGGACUCCAAAGGAGCUGCUGCUCUGUUCAUCUAGUGCCUUUGCUGCCGCAGCAGGAGCGUGGACAAAUGCAAAACAAAGUGACGGGCAGCGCUUUUUGGUAAAUAUUUUAUUUAAAUAUAUUCCCCAUGUGUUUUUAGCUAGACCCAGUAGGUUUCCUCAGACUACAUGCCAGAGUUGUUUCUGUGCUGAUGGAUAGCUGCUGCGCGUUGCAGGGCCGUGCAAGUACGGGUUGUAGUGCAGGCACCCCAUCAACCACAGGUUGUUGGAGCUCGGUCUGAAGUUCUGGGUGACAGAUCCCAUGUUAAUGCCUGAGGAACCGCAGGAAAUGCUUCCCCUUAUGACUUCAUAUUUUCUAAUCAGCAAAAGCAUCUUAUACGCAUUUUUUUUCUCUCCAGUAAGUUGUCUCCUGUGGUGUAACGCGUAAUAGGAGGACUUCAAUGUGCAUACGUAGCUAGACAUUUAUUAGGGCUUCAGUUCAUCACCGUGCUUAUCUUAGAUUAAAUUAAAUAUGGAAUUAAAGUGUAAUCUUAAGUACAUCUAGUUAAGAGUUUAAAGGCAGGCUUUAAAAUGGUUUUGUUGCCUUGGAGCCUAAACAGACCACACCAUUGAUAGGAAGUUCACAAGUUGUACGGCUUUCUCUUGCAUCCAGCAAAAUCUGCAAAGGCAGAAAAUCAGAGAACCCCAGCCUGGUCUGGGUGGGCAGGGACCUCAGAGCCCA